GAAGCGAUCUGGUAAUGGGUCGUGGAGGUAUCGGAAGUGCGAAUGCUGACAUGAGUAGCGAUAAUGAGGGUGAGAUGCCCUCACGCCGAAAGACCAAGGGUUCCUGCGCAAGGCUAAUCCGCGCAGGGUGAGUCGGCCCCUAAGACGAGCCCGAAGGGGGUAGUCGAUGGGAAGCUGGUUAAUAUUCCAGCACCUGGGGAUG
rnacentral:rRNA from 15 species